rnacentral:rRNA from 1 species
CCUACGGGUGGCUGCAGUGGGGAAUAUUGGACAAUGGGGGGAACCCUGAUCCAGCCAUGCCGCGUGUGUGAAGAAGGCCCUCGGGUUGUAAAGCACUUUCAGUGAGGAAGAACGCCUGGUGGUUAAUACCCAUCAGGAAAGACAUCACUCACAGAAGAAGCACCGGCUAACUCCGUGCCAGCAGCCGCGGUAAUACGGAGGGUGCUAGCGUUAAUCGGAAUUACUGGGCGUAAAGCGCGCGUAGGUGGCUUGAUAAGCCGGUUGUGAAAGCCCCGGGCUCAACCUGGGAACGGCAUCCGGAACUGUCAAGCUAGAGUGCAGGAGAGGAAGGUAGAAUUCCCGGUGUAGCGGUGAAAUGCGUAGAGAUCGGGAGGAAUAACAGUGGCGAAGGAGGCCUUCUGGACUGACACUGACACUGAGGUGCGAAAGCGUGGGUAGCAAACAGGAUUAGAUACCCCUGUAGUC